rnacentral:lncRNA from 1 species
AUGCAUAUUAUUAGUGAAGUCCAGUCUGCAAUUGAUGGGGUGACAGAGUGGGGAUUUGACUGGGGGUGCAGAUUUUCGGUAGAGAAAACUCAAACUGUAUUUUUCACUAGGAAAAGAAUUGAGGAUGGGAUGAAAUUGAGGAUGUAUGGGAAAGAGUUGGAGAGAGUUGGCUCAUUUAAAUAUUUGCGAGUUAUUUUUGAUUCUAGGGUAACAUGGGCAGACCAUAUUAGGAAGAUAGAGGAUAAAUGCAAAAAGGUCAUAAAUGUGAUGAGAUGUUUGACUGGUAGGGAUUGGGGAGCGAGCUGUUCAGCUUUAAAGACUAUAUAUGUAGCUAUGAUUAGAUCUGUGUUUGAUUAUGGGUGUAUAGUGUAUGGGUCAGCCGCAGUGUCUCUCUUGAGAAAGCUGGACGUGAUUCAGGCAAAGGCAUUAAGGGUAUGCAGUGGGGCUUUUAAAUCAUCACCAGUGCCUGCUCUGCAGGUAGAAAUGGGGGAAAUUCCGCUGGAGUUGAGGAGGAAACAAUUGAUGGGGAACUAUUGGGCUAAUCUGCGAGGGCACAGUGAGUCUCACCCCACAAAAGGAGUGUUGAAAGAGUGCUGGGUUUAUGGGAAGUGUGAGAGGAAUCAUUUUGGUCGGAAUGAUAUAGCGAAAGAGUUUGGUGUGGGUGAAUUGAAGCUUAGUCCAACAGUGGUAUAUCCAUUAAUGCCGCCAUGGAGGAUGGUGUGGCCAGAGGUGGACUGGUUUGUGUUGGAUAUAAAGAAGAGAGAGAGAGAACAGAUAGACCUGGCUAGUGUUUUUAAUGUUCAUCUUCUUAUAGAGUACAGUGAGUAUGUUCAUGUUUUUACAGAUGGUGCCAAACAACCUGAGACAGGAGUGACAGGGUUUGGAGUAGUUGUUCCAUCAAAAAGAAUUGAGUUUAAUGGAAGAAAAUCUGAUAAUUUGAGCGUUUAUACAGUGGAGAUGUUGGGGGUGCUGGUUGCAUUAAAAUGGGUGGAAUCAAGUACAGUGGAAAAAAUUGUGAUCUUCACAGAUUCAGCAUCUGUUUUGGCAAGUAUGAGGUUGUUUUAUUCAAGUAGUCGCCAAGGUUUGUUAUAUGAAGUUCUACAGUCAAUUACGAGAAUCGUUCAGCAGGGGAGGCAAAUACAUUUUUUAUGGGUUCCAGCUCAUGUAGGGGUGAAGGGAAAUGAGAAAGCCGAUAAGAUGGCGAAGAAGGCAUUGGGGAAGGAAAAAGUAGAAAUGAAUAUCAGUUUAAGUAAGGCAGAAGUUAAAAGCCUGAUAUGGGAAAAAGUUAACAAAAUGUGGCAAGACAAAUGGGACAGUGAGGAGAAAGGGAGAUAUUUAUAUAAUAUUCAAUAA